rnacentral:rRNA from 1 species
GACGAACGCUGGCGGCGUGCCUAAUACAUGCAAGUCGAGCGGACUUGACAGAGCUUGCUCUGUUCAAGUUAGCGGCGGACGGGUGAGUAACACGUGGGCAACCUGCCCUGCAGAUUGGGAUAACUCCGGGAAACCGGGGCUAAUACCGAAUAACAUGGAAACCUCAUGGUUUUCUUUUAAAAGGCGGCUUCGGCUGUCACUGCAGGAUGGGCCCGCGGCGCAUUAGCUAGUUGGUGAGGUAACGGCUCACCAAGGCAACGAUGCGUAGCCGACCUGAGAGGGUGGUCGGCCACACUGGGACUGAGACACGGCCCAGACUCCUACGGGAGGCAGCAGUAGGGAAUCUUCCGCAAUGGACGAAAGUCUGACGGAGCAACGCCGCGUGAGUGAAGAAGGUUUUCGGAUCGUAAAACUCUGUUGUUAGGGAAGAACAAGUAUCGGAGUAACUGCCGGUACCUUGACGGUACCUGACCAGAAAGCCACGGCUAACUACGUGCCAGCAGCCGCGGUAAAAC